GAUUUCAAUUGAAAAAGUCAUCAACAACAAAAUUGUAUAAAUCAUCAAGAUAUAAAACUUUUAUUUUUGUCAUUUCUUGAUACGACAAAGUGUUAAUAACAUUAUUCAAAAAUUUUACAUAUAUGUGUUAUACUUUAUAAAACCAGAUAAGAGAAACGUCAAUUUUGUGAAUACUGUUAGUAUCACUUUGUCGGAUGAAAAAAUGAUCAAAAUAAAAGUUUUAGAUCUUGAUGAGUUAUUCAACUUUGUUGUUGAUAACGUUUUUAUUUGAAAUC
rnacentral:pre_miRNA from 1 species